rnacentral:rRNA from 1 species
GACGAACGCUGGCGGCGUGCUUAACACAUGCAAGUCGAACGAUGAAGCCGGAGCUUGCUCCGGUGGAUUAGUGGCGAACGGGUGAGUAACACGUGAGCAAUCUGCCCUUGACUCUGGGAUAACUGCGGGAAACUGUAGCUAAUACCGGAUGCGACACCUUGGGGCAUCCCAGGGUGUGGAAAGAAUUUCGGUCAAGGAUGAGCUCGCGGCCUAUCAGCUAGUUGGUGAGGUAAUGGCUCACCAAGGCGACGACGGGUAGCCGGCCUGAGAGGGUAAGCGGCCACACGGGAACUGAGGCACGGUCCAGACUCCUACGGGAGGCAGCAGUGGGGAAUAUUGCACAAUGGGCGAAAGCCUGAUGCAGCAACGCCGCGUGAGGGAGGAAGGCCUUCGGGUUGUAAACCUCUUUUAGCAGGGAAGAAGCGAAAGUGACGGUACCUGCAGAAAAAGCACCGGCUAACUACGUGCCAGCCGCCGCAGUAA